rnacentral:rRNA from 1 species
AAUGAACGCUGGCGGCAGGCCUAACACAUGCAAGUCGAACGGGUCCUUCGGGACUAGUGGCGGACGGGUGAGUAACGCGUGGGAACAUACCCAAAGGUACGGAAUAGCCUCGGGAAACUGGGAGUAAUACCGUAUGUGGUCGAGAGACGAAAGAUUUAUCGCCUUUGGAUUGGCCCGCGUUGGAUUAGGUAGUUGGUGGGGUAUUGGCCAACCAAGCCGACGAUGCAUAGCUGGUUUGAGAGGAUGAUCAGCCACACUGGGACUGAGACACGGCGCAGACUGAGACGGGAGGGAGCAGUGGGAAAUCUUAGACACUGGGGGAAACCUUGAUCUAGCCAUGCCGCGUGAUCAAGGAAGGGCUUAGGGUUGUAAAGAUAUUUCAGAUGGGAAGAUAAUGACGGUACCAUCAGAAGAAGCCCUGGCUAACUCCGUGCCAGCAGCCGCCGUAA